GACAGAGGGUGCAAACGUGUUCGGAAUUACUGGGCGUAAAGCGCGUGUAGGCUGCUUCGCAAGUCGGAUGUGAAAGCCCUGGGCUCAACCCAGGAAGUGCAUUCGAAACUGCAGAGCUGGAGUCCUGGAGAGGAAGGCGGAAUUCUCGGUGUAGAGGUGAAAUUCGUAGAUAUCGAGAGGAACACCGGUGGCGAAGGCGGCCUUCUGGACAGUGACUGACGCUGAGACGCGAAAGCGUGGGGAGCAAACAGG
rnacentral:rRNA from 1 species